rnacentral:tRNA from 1 species
CCGGGUGUGGCCCAGUUGGUAGGGCGCUUGGUUUGGGACCAAGAUGCCGGGAGUUCGAGUCUCCCCACUCGGACCA